GCCGGCGACCAAAACUGCCCUGUAGGUAUAUUUCUUUUGUUUUCCAGGACACUUCCGAUGAUGAUAGCUGCUCAAUGGAUUAUGUUCCUUCAAAUCCCUCCGGUCCGUUUAUAUAUAAGUGUGAGACGAACCAUAUAUCACAAUAUCAGCAUGAUCCAACGGUGGAUGCAAGAGAUAUAGCCACCGAAGCAUUAUUGGUUCAUCCAAAUCCUGCACCUCUAUGUAACCGAAUUCUCUAUUGUCCUCCCUUCAUCCAAAUUUCAAAACUUCCCUAACACAUUUUACAACACAAUUAAUCUAUAACAACACCAAUAACAAGAGCAAAUUUUACCAUUAUAUCUUACAUAAACCCUAUACCCACAUAAUUCUCAUUUCAUCAAAACAUGUAAUUAAAUCAAGCUUCCUAAAUGUUUUACUAAGACUAGCAAUAGAUUCAAAUAGCAACAACUCAUCCACCUUUGAUUAUUUCCUUGACCUCAACGGUCAUACUAUAUAUCAUUGUGUUGUGUACAAUAUAUCUCAAAAUCAGAAUAAUCCAACGGUUUGAUCUCCACAGAUUUGAAUAAACCCGAACUAACCUGAAAAUGGACGAGCUACUGUUCAACAUGAACCAAACCUUGCCGGAGAGUGCGUUUCCGAUCUCCACCGUCCAGAAUGUAGGCCACACCUAGGUGCACCACAUAUCCAAAAAUAGGCACGAUCCAACGGUGGAAGAGAGAGACAUCGGCCGGCGACCAAAACUGCCCUGCAGGUAUAUUUCCUUUUGUUUUCCAGGACACUUCCGAUGAUGAUGGAUGCUCAAUGGAUUAUGUUCCUUCAAAUCCCUCCGGUCAGUGUAUAGAGGAGUUUGAGAAGAACAAUAUAUCCAAAGAUCAACAUGAUCCAACGGUGGAUGCAAGAGAUAUGGCCACCGAAGCAUUAUUGGUUCAUCCAAAUCCUGCACCUCUAUGUAACCGAAUUCUCUAUUGUCUCUCACCCCUUUUCGUUUUUCUUUCUCUU
rnacentral:lncRNA from 1 species